rfam:Aedes albopictus isolate Foshan contig85290, whole genome shotgun sequence.
UAGCCUAGUGGUUAAGGCUAUGGAUCGCCAAUCCGGAGCGGCGGGUUCGAUUCCCGU